GAUGGCCUCAGCGGGAGGCACGGAAAUGCUAGCCGAGCCUGCUGGCGUGAAAGCCCCCGGGGCCUGGCACCCCCCAAAACGACCCCCCACCUCUGCCCCUGCCCCCUUACUCGGAUUACCCACGGCUGCCCCUCUCUUCCUGAGUCUACCCCUCCUCAUUACCUGUGCCGGCGACCUAAAUUCAAAGUGUUUUGUACGUAGAAUUUCUUUUUCUGUGUUUGCUUUUCUACUGCAUGCCUGGGGGGGAGGGGCCAGCCUGCCCAGACCCCUAUCCAUUUGCGAACCUGCCAUAUGGAGGAGGCAUCUGAGGGGCUCAGGAAGAAAUUAGCGCAGCUCUGUAUCUGUAUAGACUGCCUAACUUUUAAGCUCCCGAGACUGAAAUAAUAACAUGGGCAGGGCACACACGCACAGGUACAGGAAAUACAGCCAGUCCACAGCCUUUCAGACUGCAUCUGACCGGAAGACGGCCUUUCAUUCAUUCAUUUCGGACAGCCUUGGUGGAAGAGCCCUGAAAUAAGUUGGGCGAGAAAAGAAAAAAAAAAAAAGUCUCUACAUUCGCCGAGAAGAGAUAAAUCGAUACACAGGAGGGAAAGAGAAUCGGAGUCAGCGUCUCUAACGCAGCUCACAAACAGGCAAAAGCAGACCAAGCUGUUUCUGUUCAAGUGAUUGUUUAUUUUGUGUUUUAAAAGUCCCUUGUGGAUUAAAGUCAAAAAGAAAAAACAAAACUCUCCAGAGACUUUCAGACCUGACCCUGAGGGGAAGAGUUUGACAUUCUACACAGAAUCCUGCUCUUCAGACUGUCUAUUCCUGUGCAAGGAUGGGAAGAACCCCUGAAUCCACAGAUGAGUUAAAGGGUUAACGCUGGGAAAGAGAGUCAUAAAAGUUCAAAGAUUCUUUCAAAACUUGCAUCUUGGGGUUGAUGGACAUGUAUGGUAGCCAAUGGAAACGAAAGGGCAGGCAUUACUUCAUCAUGCUCAGCUGUCACUGGUUGACAGUCUCUGAGGGAUGGACAAGAAGGCUGGCAGUUAACCCUUGAGGGCCUACCGUGUCCUUUGCAUUUCUUUGACUUUGCAAGAUGAAGCAGAAACAGAAGGGCCUCCUCAGGUGCUGUCUUUGGGUCCAGCUCCUGGAGACAAGAUCUCUCCUACCACUGGAAUACCAGGGAACAGAUGGCCUGGAUGAAAGUUUUGAACUUUUUUAAAGACAAGGAAUCAGCUGACCUCGCUGAGUAGGAGGCCCGGGGGAGAAGUUUGGUUCACUUUGUGCGCUGUCAGAACACAGACCCAUGGUGGAGACAUUUCCAUUCAUCUUGUAAAGUGAUCAGUCACUGGAAGGAUUGAAUAGCAUUUCCUGCCCCGAAGAUGUGGAGACAGAUGACCUUUGCAGCAGCCCUCAGACCCCCAGUUCACAGCUGGAGAGAGGAUGUCAGCAGCAUUUACUUUCCAGGCUCACCCAGCCCUUUGUUCAGAACUCAGACCCUUUGUGCAGCUCAGGCUGCUGCAGGGGAUUUUGGAGUUGUUGAUGCAGGGGUUUUUUUCCCCCCCCACAAACCUCCCACUUCUUGCAGCUUCUGAGAAACAAACUCUGUUUGGCAGAAGAUGGUAUCUUAAGAGCUGCCCCAGAGGGAGACCCAGAAUAGACGUGGGGAAUUUUGAGAAGCCACUUGGCCUUCUGGCAAUAACCAUUGCCCUUUCCUGGGUUUCCUGACUCCUACAGGCUGAACUGGAGAGAGCCAGAGGUCCAGCCAAUUCAUGAUGCCUCGUGUUUAGGUUUCUCUAUUAAAAAAAGAAGAAAACGAGGCUUUUAUGUAUAUUAUCGCAAGUCGAAGGCACCUGCUAGAACUAAACCAUUUACAUAAAGGAACACUGUAAACCUCGAGACAGUACAUCAAGAUAAAAGACGUUGGACAGUCUGCUGCCUCACCUGUGAAAGGGAGGUUGUAAGAAGAAACACGCUCUAGUCACAGGGGUACUGUAUGAGCCCGUGUUAGAAAAGGGUUCAUCCGAUGAUGCUGUUCCAAUGAAGCUGGCGUUCCGGGCACCGGAACCCUAACAGUUUGCCGCCUUCCACUUUGAAGGUUCGGGGGAAGAGUCACCCGUGGAGGAUGGAGUAGCUCUUUCCCCAGCCACAGCAGCUCUUAGCCUGACCUCCUUGCUCUAGGAAAAUAGAGCGCUAUGGAGUGAAUGUCACCCUGUGGAGAACGUCUUCCUUUGGUCAUGGCGGGCUCUUGGUUCCACAGCCUCAGCAGCCUUCUUUGGAAUGCUCUACAUCUAUGUUCUUGGUCGUGCCCUUGGUAACCAAAUGGUGACUGCCGGCAAGCUUCCGUGAAUUAAGAGAGGUGCUGGGCAGAUGGCAUGGCUGACAAGGUACUUACUUGCCUUGCGAGUACAAGGACCAGAGUUUGAGUUUGGAUUCCCAGUGCCCACAUAAAAGCCACGCUGGUGUGGAGGACCACCUGAAAUUCCAGCGUUUGUGAGGCAGAGACUAGAUUCCCUGGAGCUAGACUAGCCAAAUCACAAACUCGGGGUUCAGGGAGAGACCCUGCCACAGUGAAUGAAGAGGAGAGAGAUCCACCGAGACAGAGGACAUCCACCUCUGGCCUCCGAGGUGCGCAUACACACAUGCGCACCACACACACACAGAAGAUCGCCUCUUAAAUUCGCCAUUACAAAAGUCAAGGGAUGGGAUUGUGAGGAGGAAGAGUUAAAUCCUUCAAAGCAGGGAAGUCAGGCCAAACGCAGGGCUCUCGGCUCUCGGCCAGCAGCGCCAGGUUUGGAGCCCAGCUGCUGCCCUCUUCCUGCCUGAUGAAUGAAGGAGUGACAGCCUGUGGGAGAAGGUGGCAGCCAUCAGACCCCAGGCCUUGAUGAUGAAGGUGUGCUACAGGCAGAGUCCUUCUGGGACACGAAAGACCGAGAAUCGGGUGAAGCAGAGCCUGUCUGACCUCCUCUUCCAAGAGCUGUUUCCCAAGUGAGAAGAGAAGUCUCAGAGAAAGGCACCCAGCAGUACGAGGAGAUAAGGGUCUCUGGCACCAUGAGCACACCCACAUCACAGCCUUUUCGCUGUAUGUUAGUUAUGUACAGAGCAUUUCAGCACGAAGACCAGGGAGCCUGCCUUCAGACAUUUACUGAACUACUGUAUACCCAGAUACUGACUGGGGACAGUGGUAUCCAGUAGAUGUUUGGUAAAUAGACAGUACAUUCGAUUACAUUCGAUGAUGAGCUCAGACCUAGCAUCUAAUGAGUGCUCAAUAAACACUCCUCUAACUGAAUAGUAAACAGAUCACUUGUAUCAAGCUUACCAAGUAAGUAUUUCUUAAAUUCUUGACUACAUGAAGGAAUACUAUGAAGCAUGGCCUGAAGAAAUUCUGAAAUAUUGGAACCUGCCUUUUUUUU